AAAAUAAAAUUUGAUUUUAAAAAAAUUUAAUUUUUAAACUAGGAUUAGAUACCCUAUUAUUUUAAGCUUAAUGUUGGUAGUAAGUAAAAUUUAUGAAAUCAUAAAAUUUUGGCGGUAUUUUAAGCUUGUUAGAGGAAUUUGCUCUAUAAUGGAUACAACGCCUAUAUCUUACUUAAUUUUGUAAUUAAAGUCAGUUUGUAUACCACUAUAUUUAAUUAUAUUGAAUAAUUAUAUUUAAGAUUUUUAUCUAAAUAUAUAUUAAGUCAAGGUGCAACAAAUAAUUA
rnacentral:rRNA from 1 species